rnacentral:rRNA from 1 species
UGUGUAGGUGGUUUGAUAAGUUGGAUGUGAAAGCUCCCGGCUUAACUGGGAGAGGUCGUUCAAAACUAUCAGACUCGAGAGUGGUGGAGGGAGGUGGAAUUCCGCGUGUAGUGGUGAAAUGCGUAGAUAUGCGGAGGAACACCAGUGGCGAAAGCGGCCUCCUGGACCAUUUCUGACACUCAGACACGAAAGCUAAGGUAGCAAACG